rnacentral:lncRNA from 1 species
UGCAACAGCCCUUGUCUCCCUCCGCCCUUGGUUCCUUCUCACCCAUCUCACCACCAUCUGCCCAGGGGAGCCACAUGUCCCAAAUUUUGGAGAGAAAAUAAUUGAGGCUCAUUUCCAGGACAGAGGGGCAAGCUGGGUCUAAAGAGCCAAGCAGAAAGGCUUCCCAAAAUCGCUAGGUUGGGAGGGGUCAGAGACGUGUGGCUGCCCCAGCUGUUCUGACUCUGCCCCAGCUUUUGGCUCCACCCCCUUAAAGCACCUUCAGAGGUUCCCAUGGCGACAGUAAACAAGUCUCCACUGCCUUGGCCAUGUGCUGUGUUCACCCCACUCCUGAUCUUGUUGGCUGCUCAGGGGCUGACAGCCCAGAUGUGCAGCUGUGAUGAGCAGAAACAGGGAGGAAUGGAGCCCCCAGUAAGUCAUGUAUCCGUUAAAAGAAUAUCUGGAAACCUCCAAAAGGAAGCCAAGCAUAGACUAUUUGGAAGAACUUGAAGGAGCGAGAGCUGACCCCAUCUUUGUACACUGGCAGCACAAGGACAACAAUCAACACGGAAGACUUCUGUGACCAAAUGUGUGCACGUUUCUCUCCAUACACCAAGCAAGCAAUCUAUUCUGCAGCAGACACCAACUGGAAGUCCUCCAAUUCAAUUCAAUUCUGACACUGUCUACCUGGAAAUGGCCUCAGCAACCACAGGUUGAGAGCUCAGUCCCACAAGAACACCUCCUCCUUCCAACCAGUUGAAACUCCACACCUCCAGAACUUCUCACUGACUGGCUUCGAGUUGAGGUUUCCACAGUCCUCUGUUUGAGUUUGAUUAAUUUGCUAGAGAAGUUCACAGAACACAAGGAAACACUUACUUAUGUUGAUCAAUUUAUCACAAAGGAUGUUUUAAAGGAUCCAAAUGGGGGCCAGGCACAGUGGCUCAUGCCUGUAAUCCCAGCACUUUGGGAGGCUGAGGCAGGCGGAUCAUGAGAAAAACAUCAAAAUGUUGUACAAAUUUGUAAGGAUUUGAUAAUAAAUUUUGGCAGAUGUCCAAUAUCAAGAUCACCAACCACUUCAUUAAUAAUUGUUGUUAAGUCAUGGAACUUGUCUGCAGAAAUUGUAUUCUUCCAAGCUUCUAACUGAGGAUUUUGCCCUUCAACCUUAUCUGCUGUGAAAAGACAUGUUUUUUUUUGCAAAGCAAUAUUAAGAUAAUUGAAAUAUCCAAAAUACUAGACAAAUGAGAAAGAUUCGUUGUCCAAUUUCAUCUUAAAGUCAAUAUCAAAUUGGUUGCUUACCUUGGAAACACUGAGAUUGUUCUAUAGUUCAACAGUUCUCCACCAAACUUUUACCCUCAAUAAAGAUGUACUUCCACA